UCAUCUGGAUGGUUUAUUAAAACCCUGAUUUAGUAGAUCUAGGGUAGAGUCUGGGAAUUUGCAUUUCUAACAAGUUCCCAGGUGGUGC
rnacentral:pre_miRNA from 1 species